GGUUCUAUAGUGUAACGGUUAGCACGGUGAUUUUUGAUGUCGCAAAUUUGGGUUCGAUUCCCAAUAGGACCU
rfam:Talaromyces cellulolyticus DNA, scaffold: scf_tce0_022, strain Y-94, whole genome shotgun sequence.